GAGUACUUUUGAGCUCUUUUGGCUCAUCGUAUUACAAGGGAUGUUUGUUUAUCUUACAUGGACAGUUGCAAAUGCAUCCCUUAUCUACAUAUUUCAGUGAUAAAUGAUCUUUAACUUCUGGUGACUUUCGAGAAGUGGUAUUCUAAAAGACAAUCCUGAGAAUUGUAGGUUGAUCAUGGGUUUUGAAAGACUUGCUCAAUGUCAAUUUAGAUGUAACUGUAUAAUAUAGGUCUUGUCGCAAUUCCAAUGCAAAGUAUGACUAUUUUCCUUUGUUUCCUAAAUACAACAGUUAAACUCACAUUCAUUUAAUCUUGCUAGUUUAGGUUGCUGACCAUUCCACAAAAGAGGUCAAAGGACAAACUCCUUCGAGGGUAGUAAGAAGGGUGGGAGCUCACCACCUACAAUUUCAUUGGUGAAAGAAACUGGCUAUAUAAUCAUUUGGGAAAUCAACUUUACUUGGAAGAUCUGAACCGUCCAAUCAAGUGCAUGAGAGUAGAAACCGCAGAAAUAGUUGUACCUCAGAUUAGCUGCGGUUGUGCUCACCUACUCGAGAUGUGUCUCGCAGGGGUUGUUCUCGCCUAUUAAAGUUGGAGGGUAAGUACCUUGUUUCCAAUUUCCUCUCCGGUUUUUGGUAAUCUUUAGUUUCUGUGCUGUAUAGUGGUGUAUACAAUAGGUAUGGGCCGAUUCUUUUUAUAGAGCCCACUUGAAUGGGUGUACAACUAAU